rnacentral:rRNA from 1 species
GACGAACGCUGGCGGCGUGCUUAACACAUGCAAGUCGAACGAUGAAGCCGGAGCUUGCUCUGGUGAAUUAGUGGCGAACGGGUGAGUAACACGUGAGUAACCUGCCCUUGACUCUGGGUUAACUGCGGGAAACUGUAGCUAAUACCGGAUACGACCCUCGGAGGCAUCUCCUGGGGGUGGAAAGAAUUUCGGUCAAGGAUGGACUCGCGGCCUAUCAGCUAGGUGUUGAGGCAAAGGCUCACCAAGCCGACGACGGGUCGCCGGCCUGAGAGGGGGACCGGCCACACUGGGACUGAGGCACGGCCGAGACUCCUACGGAAGGCAGCAGUGGGGAAUAUUGCACAAUGGGCGCAAGCCGGAUGCAGCAGCGCCGCGUGAGGGAUGACGGCCUUCGGGUUGUAAACCUCUUUUAGCAGGGAAGAAGAGAAAGUGACGGUACCUGCAGAAAAAGCACCGGCUAACUACGUGCCAGCCGCCGCCGUAA